rnacentral:snRNA from 3 species
GUGCUCACUUCAGCAGCACAUAUACUAAAACUGGAACAAUACAGAGAAGAUUAGCAUGGCUCCUGCGCAAAGAUGACAAGCAAAUCUAUGAAGCAUUCCAUACUUUU